GGGGAUGUAGUUCAUUGGUAGAGCACUUGCCUAGUAUGUAGGAGGCUCUGUUCCAUCCCUG
rnacentral:tRNA from 1 species